UUUGCCCUCUAACCUUUGAACCCACUAACUCCUCACCCACCUCUCUCUUUGUUUUGUUUUCAAGAUAGGGUUUCUUUGUGUAAUCCUGGCUGUCCUGGAAAUCACUCUGUAGACCAGGCUGGCCUUGGACUCAGAAAUCUGCCUGCCUCUGCUGCCUGAGUGCUGUGAGGAAAGGUGUGCAUCACCACUGUCCGGCUAACCUCACUCACUUGAGGUGGCCUCUCUGUUCCCGAGGGCACCUUUCAGGAACUCUGAUUACGUUACCAGUUGCUCCUUUACCGGGUAGGGAGGCAGGGUAUGACCAUUUGCCACAGAGAAUGAAAGCCUGACAGAGGAGUCCGGUCUGUGAAGCUGACUCCCCGACACCUCUUUCCUAGGGCUAGGUGAGGGGGAAGACGAGAUUGGGUGGCAGAUGGAUGGUAAAGAGCAAAAGCAGCAGAGAGAAGACUAGGAGCUUAGAUAAGCCCAGGGACAGGGAGAGGUGGACAGAGAAGUGUGGAAAGUGGGGAAAUGAUGAGACGCAUUAGAACAAAGUAGUGGGCCAAAGAGAUGUAGGGGCAUACAGCUCCUGGCCGCUUGGAAAGGGACCAAGGCAAGGCAAGGUCCCUUUAUUAUAAGACGGAGUUUAUUAAGUACAGAUAAAAUACUUUUUUGAGCUAUAAGUGCAGGUGUGGUGGGUAAUGGAAUAGGUCCCUUGUUUAAAUGGUUUACUUCUUAUGGCUGCCUUCCUCCAUUCCAGAGGACACAUGCAUAUUUAAAUACUUAUUUAACUUGAGGUUAAAGCUGUGUACGGUUGGGUCCCUGGGUGAAACAGCACUAUAGUGACCUCUGCUGGCACUAGGCCCUGGGUGCUGACCCCUCCCUGCCCUUCCUCCCAGCGGGCUGAGGUAGGAUUGCUGGGGGUCUCUGGCUGGAGCCAAGGACAGAGCUUGCAGGCUAAAUUGUGGGUCACCUGGCAUGCUGCUUCCUCUAGCUCUCCAAAUCCCUGUUGUGAGGAAGAGAGUGUCCUGCUCGUGUUUCACCUUUGAUCUCUCCUCAAGAUGCUGUGAUCACAUACUAUGAAGAUUCAAGGGGAUGGUUAAUUCCAGUGAUUUGAAUUUAAUGCGAUGCUAUGCAACUUACAGAAAGCAUGAAGCUGAUUUGUAUGCACAGACGUGGGAGAAGUAUGGGGACAAAUGGAGUGACAGAAGCGAGCUGCAGCACGGCAUGUCUAAUAGGAUGCAGCGUGUGCGCAUGCGUGUGCCGGAGGCCAGGCUGGGGAAGGUUGUCCGCGGAGCUCUGGAGACAAGAAUGACUUGGGGUGGGGAAGCCGUUUGGAACUUUUAAAAAAAUAUACUCUCCGUAUCGUUUUUC
ensembl:antisense Ccdc42os coiled-coil domain containing 42, opposite strand